AUACAUUAUUUUGAGGGAACUCAAAAUACUCUAACCAACUGUGAUAAAUGCGACUUUCUUUCACUGUAAAUAGUUGUUGAAGUUGAUGAAAAUAUAGGCGUUGUGACUGGUGAUUGCCUAUUGUACGGAAUUUGGCUGUCGGCCAGAAAAUUAUGCAUGAGUCUAACAUACCCAGAAAACUGCUAUGAAAAUUAGUUAGGGCGUUGACCAAGCAGUGAAAUCAGUUUAAUUUCCUUUAUUAGCCGUAUUAUCUACCUAAAUAUUGUUUUGAUUAGGUACUAAUCAGGCUAGACCAAUACGAGGAGCUUGGUGUAAAUAAUAUGCUGAUCCACCAACUGCCGAGAUUCUGUAAUCCUUCAUGAACCCCAAGUUUAAAUGAAACUGUAAAUCGAAAGAGGCUUGAACGAGGAUUUGGCUCAGCGUCCCUAGGGAUAACGAAGGCGUUGAAUUACUACGGGUCUGCUCUGCUGUGACAGAUGGGCCGGCGCUUGUCUUGAUGCAGAAAAUAGUAGAUGAGGUAAUAAAUGUAGUUAUAUUUUUAACAUUUCACGCUUAGUGAUUGUUUUGCCCCUGUAAUUAUAUUAAAAUAUUAUUACAGGGGCCUGUGCACGUUGGCCGACCGGUGGGACUUACCGUGGCUGAAGCACUGGGUGCAGCUACAUGCCCCUUUAUGUAGGAAUUUGUAUUAAUAUCAUGUCAUACUAACCCUAGAUUUAAGUAUUUGUAUGUUACUAACACAAUAUUGACAUUGUUCGAAAUAAAUUGUUUUUGAUUUGA